rnacentral:lncRNA from 1 species
AUGCAAUCAUACUAUUAUUACUAAUUCUUUGCUGAAAGUCCUCCAGCCACCUGAACGGAGCUCCAGACAUUGUAAUGUGAUUCACAAGGAAAUCAUAACAUCAUGGCAACUACACAGCAAAUUGGAGAAAUUAAGACUGGCCAAUGAAAUUGCAAGAUGGAGCAGAAUUAAGGCAGCUAAAAGGAAGCUAGGAAAGUUACUCUGAUAGUUAAGGACCCAUGUGAAUACAUUGACCCCACCUGAAUAAUCCAGUAUACGCUCCUCAACUCUGGAUCCUUAACUUAUCACAGCUGCAAUGUCCCCUUUGCCAGGUACAUCAGUUUUCCACCAGACGGGUUUGGAGAUGGCUUGUUACAACACGUCAGUAAGUCCUUGACUGAAUGCUGUCAACAGAGGAGCUCAGCCUUUCCAUGUCAUGCACCACCCUGCAGGAAGUGGGGCUUUCCACCACACUCAAGACGUUAUCAAGGGCACUAAAUUGCCCCCAAGGAUCCUGGAGAGCAUGAAGGAAUGUGAAUGAAUUGGAAAAGGCAUAGAAAGUGGAGUCUUACCCAAGAAAGACCCUGAACAGUCUGGGCAGUAACAGAGACCAUUUCCAGAAGCCAGAGGAGUUUGAACAGUCUUGAGGGAGGAAGCAGGUCAGUAACGAUGAUGAAGAAAAUAAUAUGACUGAAAACAGAGCACAGAGGAAUGACAAAGACGUUGCACCUUUUUUUUUUUUUUUUAAUUUAAAUAUUUCACCUCGGCCUCCCAAAGUGCUGGGAUUACAGGCCUGGGUCACCACAACCAGCCGCAACUCUUGAUCUUGGAAAAAUGGAGGCAGCUUCAUUGUCAGAGAAGGUCUGGACUUGCUGUUAUUUUUUAUAGCUGUUGAAAUUAUUAGGGCCAAAUUAAUGAAUGGAAAUACAGAGAUAUGAGGAAGUUGCCAAUAAGCGGUUAUAUGAAGGCUUCUGGAAGUGAACUGAUGUGGUAAUCACUUAUAAUGUAUAUGUAUAUCAAAUCAUCACGUUGCACACCUUGAAAAUACACAAUUUUUAUUUGUCAAUCAUGUCUCAAUAAAGCUGGAGAAAAAAAUAAAGUAAACCAGUCUGAAUGGCCACGAUUUGUGCUUUUGGAAGAAAUACAUUAAAGCAGAUAUGCAAGUAUUAUGGUUUUUG